GCCUCUAUAGCUCAGUUGGUAGAGCGCGGUAUGUUUCCGCCAACAGACUUCCAACAAGCGAAUCCCUUCUAAUUCUCAACAGACACUAGUACUACAUCAUAGUUCGUCAUGUCGAGGUCUACGGUUCGACUCCGUAUGGAGGCA